rnacentral:rRNA from 1 species
UACGUAGGGGGGCUAGCGUUGUCCGGAAUCAUUGGGCGUAAAGCGCGCGUAGGCGGCCCGGUAAGUCCGCUGUAAAAGUCAAAGGCUCAACCUUUGAAUGUCAGUGGAUACUGCCGGGCUAGAGUCCGGAAGAGGCGAGUGGAAUUCCUGGUGUAGCGGUGAAAUGCGCAGAUAUCAGGAAGAACACCCAUGGCGAAAGCAGCUCUCUGGGACGGUACUGACGCUGAGACGCGAAAGCGUGGGGAGCGAACAGG